GUGAGUGAUCUCAGAGAAAAAGACAUUCAACGGAAAUGUUUAAAUAUGAACAGAAUUUAAAAUGUCUGGAAAAACCCUAGAAAUGUUUAUUUUUCUUUUUUAAAAUGCAUUCUGAUGAAAUGAAUGUUAACUGUCUUGAGCAGUAACUGUGCACUUCCUCAUGCGUUUUCUGUUUCUCUGCUGAUUAUAAAUGUCUUUCUUCACUUUCCUCCAUUACUAAUGUGUGUUUACUGUCAUGCUGUUGGGUCCAGUCCUCAGUGUGUGGUGGACCGAGGGAUCCCUCUUGUGUUUGUUGUGGCUGAUGAAGUCACAAGAUGACUUUACUACAACAGUAAUGCUGAACUGUGAACAGAGAAAUGAUUGUUGUCUCUCGUCAACUACUAGGAGUUUGUCACUGAGCUGAGUAAGAAUGGAGAGUUCUGGAUUGGUCUACGGAAUAUAUACAUAUGGAAAUGGACAUGGGAAUGGGUGGACGGAUCACCGCUGACAGAAACGUUCUGGGCAGCAGGACUGCCAUACUAUAGCAGUUACUCGUACCCUGCAACAUGCUGCAAUCAACACGGAAAAUGGAGACAUGGAUAUUUUUCUGAUAAUACGAACUGGAUCUGUGAGAAAAAGAUUCUCUGAACUCUGUGAUGACAGAGAUGUGUGUAGUGUUGGGAUCAGCUUUGUUAAAUCAGACCAAUUCUUUAACAUUUGCUCAGCUGUUUGUUCUGUGUUGCUAAAUAACCUGGAUUACAGAGAUAUUGUUCCUCUGCCCUUCAUAGUGCACAAUCUGGUUAGAAGUCAUGUGUACUUACUCUGUAGUCCUACAGGAUUAUUAUAAUAAAAGCUAAUAAAAACAUGGA